AGACUGUAGAAUCUCUACAAGUAAGUGUGUGAUUUCUUUUAUGACAUCACAUUUGCCUGCAGAGAUUUUCCAGUCU
rfam:Loxodonta africana unplaced genomic scaffold scaffold_52, whole genome shotgun sequence.